CACGUAGUUGGCCGGUCCUUCUUCUGCAGGUACCGUCACUUUCGCUUCGUCCCUGCUGAAAGAGGUUUACAACCCGAAGGCCGUCAUCCCUCACGCGGCGUUGCUGGAUCAGGCUUUCGCCCAUUGUCCAAUAUUCCCCACUGCUGCCUCCCGUAGGAGUCUGGGCCGUGUCUCAGUCCCAGUGUGGCCGGUCACCCUCUCAGGCCGGCUACCCGUCAAUGCCUUGGUGAGCCAUUACCUCACCAACAAGCUGAUAGGCCGCGAGCUCAUCCUUCUCCGCCGGAGCUUUCCAACCCCCAACAUGCGAAAGGGGUUCAUAUUCGGCAUUAGCCAUCGUUUCCAAUGGUUAUUCCAAAGAGAAGGGCAGAUUGCUCACGUGUUACUCACCCGUUCGCCGCUCGUGUACCCCGAAGGGCCUUACCGCUCGACUUGCAUGUGUUAAGCACGCCGCCAGCGUUCGUCCUGUAGCCAGGAUCAAACUACCU
rnacentral:rRNA from 1 species